rnacentral:lncRNA from 1 species
GACUGAGCAGCUCUUGCUGGAGACCAAAUAUGGAACAGCAGAUGCUAGAGACUUUGUAUCUUCCCUACAAAGAAAUGGGAUACUGCAAAGCACCACGAGUGUUUCUCCAGCCAUCAGAAAUGUUGCCGAGGGGCCAGAGGGAGGGGAGCUGUUGGUCCCAGUUUCUGCUUUCUCUGGCCAAGCAGUGUCUCUGUAAGUCCCUAAGCUGCUUCUGCACAGAGUGCUGCUCUCAAAAAGUAUGUUUUGCCAUGUUUUAACUUCUCCCUUUCUUUUUGCAGGGAGGAGAGAAGGAAGCAGAGGUUGCGGGGUGGUUGGCAGUGACAGUGACUGAUGUGUGGUUGUUCCUCGGCGGCGUUCUCAGCAGCACGCCCUGGCAAGCCGCUGUUCUACUUGCUUUCAUCACUGUCAUUUUUCCUUUCGGCCGAAGCAUCAUCAAUACCGCACCAAUGUGUUCCCUUUUCAAAGAGCGGCUGUGACUGGACAUGGCUUUGCUUACUGAGCAGAUAAGCUUUUGUGAGUAUCGCAGAGCCAAGGCUGGAUGCAUUCUUCUUCUGACUCUGUACCAUGGCUAUGGCAGCAUCCAAAGAAGAAACCUCCUCACACAGCAGGGAUACAGGUUUAACACUCAUUUAGGCUGGGAUCAAGCGGGAUCCCUCUCAGGUCAGUGUCUGAGCUGCCAGUUUUGUCACCUGCCCCAGUGUCUGGGAGUGCUGGCAGUAGGAGAAUCUCCAGUCGAAGGCUGUCUCGACAGGAUCAGGGCAGCAGUUCAGGAACAUUUCCUACGAUUGCCUUUCCAAAGGCUAAUGAGUUUCCAGGCCAGCCUGCUGACAGCUGUUAUGGCCAGGAAAACUACAGGGAUCCUUAAGUCCAGCCCUUGCAUUUUGCAAGGCUAUGUCAGCCGGUAAUACAAAGCUCAAGCCUGUUCCAUGGAGAGACCUCGUGAUGAGAAAGGAAGAGGGAAAUCUCCCUUACAUAUGCUGCUCAUGCAGAGAGAGCGUAAUCUGCAGCUCACCCCGAUUCUGUAGGGAACGGCAGUGCCAUUUUUUAGAGUGGAUGAUAAUUCUGGGAAAAGACAAGGUUUUGGGUAGAACAUCCAUUCCUCAGGACACUUAAAAACUCUUAUUUAUAGUAUUAUGCUAUUCUGGCUAUACCACCAUUACUGGUCACAUUCCUACUUAAUUAUAAUCCAUGUAAUUAUUUAAUUGUUUCCUUAUUUAUAGUAUUUAUCUGCACUGCAGGUUCCUAUCUGUUUCAGCUACUAGCAAGCAAAUCCCUUUAAUGCCGAAUUAGUGAAGAAGCCAGGAGGGCUUCCCUUGAGAAGGGAAUACAGAGGUCCGUUUUAACCUUUCAUGCGAUUGUCAUAAUUCUGACUUCUGCUGCAGAUUUGUUAGGAUUCUGUAAAGUGUCUUCUAAGAGACUCAUCCCAUGUCUGCCCCUGAAUUUACUGUGUGGCCAAGGGUGUUGGAAGUUAUCUUCCUUCUCUUUCAUUCCGUAGGGAGAAUAGCUCUCAACAAAUAAAGUCUUGCAAAGCAGGAUUUCUGCA